rnacentral:misc_RNA from 1 species
GUUGAAGGUAGCUACCUGUAACUUGAACCAGUGGGCGAUGGAUUUCGACUGCAAUUUAAAGAACAUUAAGGAGUCCAUAGCCAAGGCCAAAGAAGCUGGUGCCGUUAUUAGACUCGGCCCUGAGCUUGAAAUCACUGGCUAUGGCUGUGAAGAUCAUUUCUUGGAGCUCGAUACCGUCACUCACGCAUGGGAUUGCUUGAAAGAAAUUCUGCUGGGGGAUUGGACUGAUGGGAUAUUGUGCAGCUUCGGGAUGCCGGUUAUUAAAGGAUCAGAGCGUUACAAUUGUCAAGUUUUGUGUUUGAACAGGAAAAUUAUAAUGAUACGCCCAAAAAUGUGGCUCGCUAAUGAUGGUAAUUACAGGGAGCUUCGAUGGUUCACUGCAUGGAAGCAAAAUGAUCAGCUUGUGGACUUUCAUCUCCCAAAUGAAGUUUCAAAGGCUAUAAAUCAGGAUUCAGUGCCUUUUGGUUAUGCUUUCAUUCAGUUUUUAGAUACAGCUGUUGCUGCUGAAGUUUGCGAAGAACUUUUCACCCCUAUCCCACCUCAUGCUGAGCUUGCCCUUAAUGGGGUAGAAGUGUUUAUGAAUGCGAGUGGGAGUCACCACCAAUUGAGGAAGCUUGAUCUUCGUCUUCGUGCUUUUAUAGGUGCUACUCAUACUCGAGGAGGCGUUUAUAUGUACAGUAAUCACCAAGGAUGUGAUGGUGGCCGCCUUUAUUAUGAUGGAUGUUCUUGCAUUAUUGUAAAUGGAGAAGUGGUUGCCCAAGGAUCCCAAUUUUCUUUAAAGGAUGUUGAAGUUGUAAUUGCCCAAGUAGAUCUGGAUGCGGUUGCUAGCCUUAGAGGAUCUAUAAGUAGUUUUCAAGAACAAGCAAGUUGCAAAACCACAGUAUCAUCAGUAGCAGUGCCGUACAAUCUCUGUCAGCCCUUUAACCUGCAAAUGUCCCUUUCCAGCCCCCUUAAGAUCAACUAUCAUUCUCCUGAAGAGGAAAUAGCCUUUGGCCCUGGUUGCUGGCUCUGGGACUAUCUAAGAAGAAGUGGAGCUUCUGGAUUUCUGCUUCCUCUUUCUGGUGGAGCGGAUAGUUCCUCUGUGGCUGCUAUUGUUGGUUGCAUGUGCCAACUUGUUGUGAAAGAGAUUGCAAAUGGGGAUGAACAAGUCAAAGCUGAUGCAAUACGAAUUGGACAUUACACCAAUGGGCAAUUUCCUACCGACAGCAAAGAAUUUGCAAAGCGUAUAUUUUAUACUGUAUUUAUGGGGUCUGAAAACAGUUCUGAAGCCACAAGACAGCGGGCAAAGGUUCUAGCAGAUGAGAUUGGUUCAUGGCAUCUUGAUGUUUCAAUAGAUGGUGUUAUUUCUGCAUUGCUAUCGUUGUUUCAAACCCUAACUGGAAAGCGACCACGUUACAAGGUAGAUGGGGGUUCUAAUAUUGAGAACCUAGGGUUGCAGAACAUUCAAGCUCGAAUCAGAAUGGUGCUAGCAUUUAUGUUAGCCUCACUCUUGCCUUGGGUUCAUAAUAAAUCAGGUUUUUAUCUCGUUUUGGGUAGCUCUAAUGUGGAUGAAGGACUGCGUGGUUACCUGACAAAGUAUGAUUGUAGCUCGGCAGAUAUAAAUCCAAUAGGAAGUAUUAGCAAGCAGGAUCUUCGGGCAUUUUUGCGAUGGGCUGCCAUCCAUCUUGGUUACUUAUCCUUGGCAGAAGUUGAAGCAGCACCUCCAACUGCUGAAUUGGAGCCUAUACGUUCAAACUACAGUCAGCUUGAUGAAGUUGACAUGGGAAUGACAUAUGAGGAGCUCUCAGUUUAUGGAAGGUUGCGCAAAAUUUUCCGCUGUGGACCAGUGUCGAUGUUUGAGAAUCUCUGCUACAAAUGGGGUUCAAGAUUAACUCCAUCACAGGUGGCUGAUAAAGUGAAACACUUCUUCAAGUACUAUUCCAUUAAUCGCCACAAAAUGACCAUCUUAACACCUUCUUAUCAUGCGGAGAGUUAUUCACCAGAGGAUAACAGGUUCGAUCUUCGUCAGUUUCUGUACAAUGCAAGAUGGCCCUAUCAAUUCCGUAAGAUUGAUCAACUUGUUCCGGAAUUAAAUGGGGAUAAAGUUGCUUUCAGAGAAUCAAAUGACAAGGAAAAAUUGGGUGCUUCUUCAAACGGAGUAGUAGGGAUGGGGGUUGUGGCAUCAGGCUCCGGUGAUCCAAAAGCUGGCCUUUAAUUUUAAAGAGCGAAGUAGAAACUUGCACCAGAAAUAAUAACAUGCAAAUAAAUUGUUUGCCCGUGUCCAUUUUGAUUUCUAUCAAACGCAUACAACAUGGUUUCAUUGCCUCUUCUCAACCAUCUGGCCAGACCCAACUUAUAUUCUUUUUCAACAUUCCAGCCGUUUUUUGUAAGCAGUAACAAAUUCAGCAGUGUAUAACUUUCAAUGUGACUAAAUUACAAGGUUUACCAAAU